GAACUCGAGCCCCGGUCUUUGAAAGCCCCUGGCCUCUGCCUGGCACCCCACUUUGCUGUGUCUCUCUCCUCUCCUGACACCCUGUGACAGCCUUGCCGAGAGCCGAGGUCCCCACAGCUGACCGGGAGAGCCCCAGGAGGCAGGUCCAGUUCCCCCCUGUUGUAGACACGCGGGAGCCGAGGCCACACAGCCAGGAGGAAGGAAACUGACACCACACCAAGUGACCAGAGAUGCUGGGAAUCCCCUAAUUCCUCUCCUUUACUGAGAUAACAGACA